rnacentral:lncRNA from 1 species
CAUUAGGUUGGUUUGAAGAUAAAUACUAAGGGAUGAGGGGUGGCGUGUGUGGAGGUGGAAGCAGCAGUCACGUGGAGCCUGGGUGCCUGGACUCAAACAGUGCCAGGUGACUCAGACCCUGCAUCCCUGCCAGCAAAAUUGCCUGUGAUUCUUUGUGGGCUGAAGCAAGAAAUGAGCACGCCCUUCCCAGGAACUUUGUGGGACUGAAGUGUGUGUGGCGGGGGAGAGCCAGUGGCUCUGGUUUGGCAAGAUUGCUGCAUUCCCGAGUUCCUGAGACAUUUGCAUCGAAUUAACUCUGAAAUUUCAAGGUCGUGACCCAGGAGAGGAUGCCUGACCCAGGAAUGAAAACUGGAAG